UGUAGUGGCGUGUUCUAGACCCGAAGCGGAGUGAUCUACCCAUGGCCAGGUUGAAGCGACGGUAAGACGUCGUGGAGGACCGAACCCACUUAGGUUGAAAACUGAGGGGAUGAGUUGUGGGUAGGGGUGAAAGGCCAAUCAAACUCCGUGAUAGCUGGUUCUCCCCGAAAUGCAUUUAGGUGCAGCGUCACGUGUUUCUCACCGGAGGUAGAGCUACUGGAUGGUCUAGGGGGCCUACAAGCUUACCGAAAUCAGCCAAACUCCGAAUGCCGGUGAGUGAGAGCGUGGCAGUGAGACUGCGGGCGAUAAGGUUCGUAGUCGAGAGGGAAACAGCCCAGAUCGCCAGCUAAGGUCCCUAAGCGUGUACUAAGUGGAAAAGGAUGUGGGGUCGCGAAGACAACCAGGAGGUUGGCUUAGAAGCAGCCACCCUUGAAAGAGUGCGUAAUAGCUCACUGGUCAAGUGAUCCUGCGCCGACAAUGUAGCGGGGCUCAAGUACACCACCGAAGCUGCGGCACUCACACAACAGCCCCAUGCAGGUCUGCGGAUCUGUGUGCAGGUGUGUGGGUGGGUAGGGGAGCGUCGUGCAGCCAUGGAAGCAUCGGAGUGAUCCAGGUGUGGAGGCUGCGCGAGUGAGAAUGCAGGCAUGAGUAGCGAAAGACGAGUGAGAAACUCGUCCGCCGAAUGACCAAGGGUUCCUGGGCCAGGUUAAUCCGCCCAGGGUGAGUCGGGACCUAAGACGAGGCCGACAGGCGUAGCCGAUGGACAACGGGUUGAUAUUCCCGUACCCGUGUAACCGCGCCCAUGGUGAAUCAGUGAUACUAACCACCCUGAAUCUCGCUUACUUCACGCCUUCGGGUGUGCGGGGGCGGGUGGAUGCGUGGGACCUGAUCUGGUAGUAGCCAAGCGAUGGGGUGACGCAGGAAGGUAGCUGGGCCAGUCAGUGGUUGUACUGGUGUAAGCCUGUAGGGCGAACGGUAGGCAAAUCCGCCGUUCACACAGCCUGAGAGGUGAUGCGUAGCCGAUUGAGGCGAAUUCAGUGAUCCUAUGCUGCCGAGAAAAGCCUCUAGUGAGUUGUUACACGGCCCGUACCCCAAACCGACACAGGUGGUCAGGUAGAGAAUACUAAGGCGAUCGAGAUAACUAUGGUUAAGGAACUCGGCAAAAUGCCCCCGUAACUUCGGGAGAAGGGGGGCCCCUGCCGGUGAUCACUCUUGCAGUGUGAGCUGGUGUGGGCCGCAGAGACCAGUGAGAAGCGACUGUUUACUAAAAACACAGGUCCGUGCGAAGUCGUAAGACGAUGUAUACGGACUGACGCCUGCCCGGUGCUGGAAGGUUAAGAGGACCGGUUAGCCAGUGAUGGCGAAGCUGAGAAUUUAAGCCCCAGUAAACGGCGGUGGUAACUAUAACCAUCCUAAGGUAGCGAAAUUCCUUGUCGGGUAAGUUCCGACCUGCACGAAUGGCGUAACGACUUCUCAGCUGUCUCAACCAUAGACUCGGCGAAAUUGCAUUACGAGUAAAGAUGCUCGUUACGCGCGGCAGGACGAAAAGACCCCGGGACCUUCACUACAGCUUGGUAUUGGUGUUCGGUUCGGUUUGUGUAGGAUAGGUGGGAGACUGUGAAGCGGUGACGCCAGUUACUGUGGAGUCGUUGUUGAAAUACCACUCUGAUCGUAUUGGAUACCUCAACCUCGGACCAUGAUCUGGUUCAGGGACAGUGCCUGGUGGGUAGUUUAACUGGGGCGGUUGCCUCCUAAAAUGUAACGGAGGCGCCCAAAGGUUCCCUCAGCCUGGUUGGCAAUCAGGUGUCGAGUGCAAGUGCACAAGGGAGCUUGACUGUGAGACUGACAAGUCGAGCAGGGACGAAAGUCGGGACUAGUGAUCCGGCACCGGCAAGUGGAAGCGGUGUCGCUCAACGGAUAAAAGGUACCCCGGGGAUAACAGGCUGAUCUUCCCCAAGAGUCCAUAUCGACGGGAUGGUUUGGCACCUCGAUGUCGGCUCGUCGCAUCCUGGGGCUGGAGUAGGUCCCAAGGGUUGGGCUGUUCGCCCAUUAAAGCGGCACGCGAGCUGGGUUUAGAACGUCGUGAGACAGUUCGGUCUCUAUCCGCCGCGCGCGUAAGAAACUUGAGGAAGGCUGUCCCUAGUACGAGAGGACCGGGACGGACGAACCUCUGGUGUGCCAGUUGUUCCACCAGGAGCACCGCUGGUUGGCUACGUUCGGAAGGGAUAACCGCUGAAAGCAUCUAAGCGGGAAGCCUGUUCCAAGAUGAGGUUUCU
rnacentral:rRNA from 1 species